UAUACGUCUGGGAGGCCUAUUUCGGCGUUGUACAACGUUCGGAGCAGUUGACAAAGGUAACUGAAAACGUCUACAAAUGUGGAUUUUAACGAAAGUGUAUUAAUUUUGAACAUAGGACCACCAAUGUUUACAAUGUGUACUGCUGACACUUGAGAGGCCGCCUUGCUUGAGUUCCUUUGGAGAAUCUGCCAGAACUACUACUAGUCGUAAUGACCAUAACGUGCCAACGUCAUCAACUCUUCAGUGUCCAUAAGAACACAGCAUUAACAGCUUUCAUCCACAAAACCUGGUCAAAUUUGGACCCGGGAAGUCACUUGCUUUUGCAGAGAAGGGUGUGACUGCUUUUCUCCAAAAGUCCACAACUUUGGAGAGGACAAUGAGAAGACCGAUGAGAAGAGGCUGGACGUUGGAAUGUGGGUACUCGUAGAGUACGACACAGAUCUCUACCCUGGUACAAUAACGCAGAUUGUUGGCGAACAGUACGAGGUAGACACAAUGAUUCGGGUAGGGGAGAACAGAUUUUUCAAUCCUGCAGUGAAAUACCCUGGGGACAAAAUCUGGUAUUUACCAGGAGACAUUAAAGAGGUCAUCCCAGAGCCACUUCCAGUGACAUCAUCCAGAAGGCAUUUCUGCAUUUUGCCAGAAAUCUGGGCAAAACAUUCUAAAUAGUGAUGGGAAAUGUUUUUAUAUGUGGUCGGCAAACUAGUUCCUGGCCAUUUCCAUGUUUGCUGAAAGUGUCACAAUAAAAUGUUCUAUUUUAAUUAA